CUCAAAAAAUCGAGGAAAACCAAGCCAAAAUUCCGCUUUAUUUUCUGCCAAAAUAAAAAAGAAGUCAAUUAAAUGCUACAGAAAUUGCGACGAGACCAUAAUGGACGUUUUGUUAAAUUUUGGGCCAAAUCGGAAUGGGAAUGAUGAAGAAAUUAUUGAGAAAUUUCAAUGUUAAAUCAUGGUGGUCAAAGACAAGAUGGCGGACGUCUUCUUCUCCAAUCAAGAAAAUGAAACGAAACUGCUUCAAUGGUGUUGGAAGUCAACAAUAUGUUAUAUGUGUUACCCUGUAAGUUAUUAUAUAACUACUCUUAAUGUAUAAAGCCAUUAUGUUUUACUUAUUUUACUUUUUACCAACACAUUUAAUAUUUUAUCCUAUUUUUCUUAAAAAGUGUUACGUAAAAACUCGUUCAUUGCAUGCAUUUCAAUACACAACAUGAUAAUUAUUAUCAAAUGAUACAGUAUAGUGUUCCAUUGCAAAUUUUUUCCUAAAUAUAACCCUGUUAGAUAAAAAUUCACAUCUCCCCCCCUGAAAUUAUAUUACAGGUCCCCCUCCCCCCUUUCUACAAAACCCAGCAUUAAUUUAUCUGUAAAAUGUCGCUAUUUUAUUUGUGAUAUCUAAAAAUUAACCAGCUAAUUUUUAAUUUCCUGUAGUGAAUCUAUCAAAGCCAAGAUAAACGGUGCCAACUAAACAGCAGAAGAUG